UCCACGUGGAGAAACCUUCCCAGGCCAGGGAAGGUGGGGCCCCAGGGCUGCCGUCAGAGGUGUUGCAUGCAGCAGAGUGCCUCACACAGUGCAACCCUCUCACCAGAUCAUCUAUGGAUGCUGCCAUACAGCAGCAAUGGUGGAAGAAUAGCAAUGAGCCAAAUAAAUCAUAUCAAAUACAUAAGGAUCCUUACCAUUCUUUAAAAACUUGAUGGAUGUGUUAAGACGAGCAACAUUGAUAUUCAGUUGUCCAACAACUCUGCGGUAUCUUCCACAGUCACAGACUGUGCCUGAUGCAAUAAAAAAAAAUAGAGGAUUUAUCUGUUUAGAAG